rnacentral:rRNA from 1 species
CCGGAAUUAUUGGGCGUAAAGCGCGCGCAGGCGGUUUCUUAAGUCUGAUGUGAAAGCCCCCGGCUCAACCGGGGAGGGUCAUUGGAAACUGGGGAACUUGAGUGCAGAAGAGGAGAGUGGAAUUCCACGUGUAGCGGUGAAAUGCGUAGAGAUGUGGAGGAACACCAGUGGCGAAGGCGACUCUCUGGUCUGUAACUGACGCUGAGGCGCGAAAGCGUGGGGAGCGAACAGGAUUAGAUACCCUGGUAGUCCACGCCGUAAACGAUGAGUGCUAAGUGUUAGAGGGUUUCCGCCCUUUAGUGCUGCAGCAAACGCAUUAAGCACUCCGCCUGGGGAGUACGGUCGCAAGACUGAAACUCAAAGGAAUUGACGGGGGCCCGCACAAGCGGUGGAGCAUGUGGUUUAAUUCGAAGCAACGCGAAGAACCUUACCAGGUCUUGACAUCCUCUGACAACCCUAGAGAUAGGGCUUCCCCUUCGGGGGCAGAGUGACAGGUGGUGCAUGGUUGUCGUCAGCUCGUGUCGUGAGAUGUUGGGUUAAGUCCCGCAACGAGCGCAACCCUUGAUCUUAGUUGCCAGCAUUCAGUUGGGCACUCUAAGGUGACUGCCGGUGACAA